AUGGAGAUGCUCCCAUGGGUCUCCCUCCUCUGCCCAGCUGUUGAUUUUCGUGGAAUGCAGAGGAGUGCAAUUGCUUUUGAAAUGCUUCUUCUUGCUCAAAUUUAUGUGAAAGUGGCCAUGGAGUCAAAGCUUCUCGGGAAAGCUGCUUGGCAGGCAGGUUGUGGAGAUGUUUCAUUCUGUGGCCCUGCUGUAGGGUUAGGAUACUGCAGAAGACAACACAUUUGNNUGCUGCCUUCUUUGAGAUUCCAGUGUGACAAGCAAAGAAAUAGAGAUGCUGUCAGCUACGCACCUGCUUCUUCAAUUCAAGGGAAUAAAAAUACUUUGGAGAGACGAUUAGGGAUACAGCACUGAUAUUGUUAAAUCAGUUGCAGUAUACACGGAAAACAGAUAAAAACUUCUGUCUCUACGUGUGGCAUGUUCUGCUAGCGCUCACUAAAAGACAGUUUUACUCAUGAAACAUGGUUUUCAAGUUGCCUUCUCAGUUGUGCCUGCUAUUGGUCAUACUCAGUUCUGGCAAUGGUUCUUUUCUUUCUUUCUUUUUUUUGACUGAUACAUGCUAGUAAACCUUGAAAAACUAAAACAGGUUUCUAGCCAUUUGGGUCAUUAUAACCUUGAGUACAGAAUGGCAAUUUAUCCGCUAGGGGGAGGCCUGUAAAUACUAAUGGAUAAUUACCAUUGUGGCAGUAAAAGAGACGGUGAUAGACUCUAAAUCUUCUCCUGAUUUUUAAUGAAGGCAGAGUUAUCCUGAUCGCUGCGUAGACCCAGAUACCUCUUAAACCAGAGCUGGAGCUGUCUACUUGAGAGUUCUGUCUAAAUGACUAAGGAUGCACAGGGAAUGGUUAACCAAACAUGUAUAUUUUGUAAAUAUUACUUUAGCUUCCAUAGGCCAUUUAUAUCGUACUAAAAAACUGAGCUCUAAAAAUCCAAGAUGCCUUCUGCUGCUUAUGUUCUGUGUUUAACUUUGCUCUUCCGUGCAUACAGAUCACAGAAAUUGAAGUGGGUUUCACUUUGUUCACAGUCAGAUUUGCUUUCUCGUUUUAAGGCAGGGUUACAUCCCUUGUAGAAAAUAAAAAAUGAAAAGAAUAAAGAAUACUUUUUAAA
rnacentral:lncRNA from 1 species